rnacentral:rRNA from 1 species
UUUAUGGAGAGUUUGAUCCUGGCUCAGGAUGAACGCUGGCGGCGUGCCUAAUACAUGCAAGUCGAGCGAACGGACGAGAAGCUUGCUUCUCUGAUGUUAGCGGCGGACGGGUGAGUAACACGUGGAUAACCUACCUAUAAGACUGGGAUAACUUCGGGAAACCGGAGCUAAUACCGGAUAAUAUUUUGAACC